rnacentral:lncRNA from 1 species
CUCCCCUUCUUCUCCUCUAGAGCAAUCCUAUCACCAUGUAGCACCUUCAGGAUUUCUCCAUCAGCUACCGUCCUAUAGCCUCUCGAAUCCAGUCUGCUCAGUGAGAUAAGAUUUCAUCUGAAAUCGGAUAUGUAUCAAACCUCCUCCAAUCUCUUCAUUGCACCAUCAUGUGUACUCCAGCUGACCGUCCUGAUGUCUCUGAUCACACAGCUCAAUCCAUCUGGUAGAUAAACAGUACCCUCACUAUUCUUUAGGGAGUCAAACUACUCUUUUCUGCAACAUACAUGAUGGGUGCAUGCAGAAUCUAAUAUCCACUACUGAAAAAAAGUAGAUACCUCGUCAGAUAUCUCCAAAACAUACUCUCUGAAUCGCUACUAGUCAUCGCCACAACAACCAUCGUUCAAUUUUUGAGUUGAGGGCAAUCUCUGGCUAGAUGCCCCAACUCGUCACACCAGUAACAUCUAAUUUUGCUUAAGUCCCUCCUGGACUUGGUCCGCUCUCAUCGCAAUCUCCUGUCGCUCCGUCUACCACCUCCUGCUCCUUCAGAAGCCACCAAAGCUGAGCUACCACCACCUGAGCUCGAAGCCGGAUUCUCCCUCCUAAGAACCUCAUUCUGGAGUAUCACCAUGGUGACCUCGUCCAUCUUCAUGGUGCUCUUUCCCAUUAGAAGAGUAGUCACCAAAGACUCAUAGAAGGUGGAAGCGAUACUAGCAAAACCAGUGUCCUAGUCUUCUCCUCA